rnacentral:snoRNA from 1 species
AACGCUAUACUUAAACCAAUGGAUGGGCAUUUUCCCCAUUCUCGGUUACGCUGUAGUGCUAACCAAUUUCCCUGGCUCUCCGUCCCCAGGCACCGCUGACUGCCAGUUGGCUGUUGCUUUGUGCAGUGAAGGAACACAG